rnacentral:sRNA from 1 species
AGGUGUCACCACUGUGCUUACCAUGACCACCUUGAGUAUCAGUGCCAGAAAUUCCUUACCUAAAGUGGCAUAUGCGACGGCCAUGGACUGGUUCAUAGCCGUCUGUUAUGCCUUUGUAUUUUCUGCACUGAUUGAAUUUGCCACUGUCAACUAUUUCACCAAGCGGAGUUGGGCUUGGGAAGGCAAGAAGGUGCCAGAGGCCCUGGAGAUGAAGGUCAUGCCACACACUUUUGGGACACUAUCCUUGACCUGAAAUCUAGAGCAGCAGGUAUCCUCAGUGUCAUCUUCACCCUGGUCUGAUUUUCACUGCACUUCACUUUCACUUUCACUUCACUUCCGAGCCCUUAUUUUUUGGGAUUAAGGUUAUAAAAGCUAUUAAGUUUCACCAAA